AACUUUCGACAACGGAUCUCUUGGUUCUGGCAUCGAUGAAGAACGCAGCGAAAUGCGAUAAGUAAUGGGAAUUGCAGAAUUCAGUGAAUCAUCGAAUCUUUGAACGCACAUUGCGCCCCCUCGUAUUCCGUGGGGCAUGCCUGUCCGAGCGUCAUUACAACCCUCAAGCUCAGCUUGGUGUUGGGCCCCGCCGCCCCGGCGUGCCCUAAAGUCAGUGGCGGUGCCGUCCGGCUCCGAGCGUAGUAAUUCUUCUCGCUCUGGAGGUCCGGUCGUGUGCUUGCCAUCAACCCCCAAUUGUUUUCAGGUUGACCUCGGAUCAGGUAGGGAUACCCGCUGAACUUAAGCAUAUCAAUAAGCGGAGGCU
rnacentral:misc_RNA from 1 species